UUUGAACCUACUGUUUAUAACUGUAUAACAAAAUUUAAACAAUUAUUGAACAGAAAAAAUAGGAGCAAAACAACCACUGCCUCACUGGUCCAAACAGAGAAAAAAAAACAGAGGAAAAAACAGAGGAGAAAAAAACAGAGCAAACAACAGAGGAGAAAAAAACAAAGGGUAAAAAAACAGAGAAAAACAGAAAAAGAAGAAGAGAAUAGAAGAAGGGAAAAAAAAAAAACAGAGGUGGCCGGAAAUAGGGCAGUUGUCGCCGGAAAAAAAGAAGAAGAAAGAAGAAGAAGCAGAAGUCGAAAAUAAGAAAGAAGAAGAAAGAAGAAACGUACCUGAAACCUUGAAGGAGAAGAGAGGAGGAGGCAAACAAAAAACCCUAGCUGCUAUUUUUAUUUAAGUCCUCCACUUCAUUUAAGUCCUCCACUUCUUUUAAUUGUUUUUUUUUUU